AAAUAAUGGUGAAGGUGAUGAUGAUGAUGAUGAUGAUGAUGAUCAUCAUCAUCAUCAUCGUCAUCAUCAUCAUCAUCAUCAUCAUUAUCAUCAUCA
rnacentral:pre_miRNA from 1 species